UACGGAGGGUGCGAGCGUUAAUCGGAAUUACUGGGCGUAAAGCGCACGCAGGCGGUUUGUUAAGCUAGAUGUGAAAGCCCCGGGCUCAACCUGGGAUGGUCAUUUAGAACUGGCAGACUAGAGUCUUGGAGAGGGGAGUGGAAUUCCAGGUGUAGCGGUGAAAUGCGUAGAUAUCUGGAGGAACAUCAGUGGCGAAGGCGACUCCCUGGCUAAAGACUGACGCUCAUGUGCGAAAGUGUGGGUAGCGAACAGG
rnacentral:rRNA from 1 species